rnacentral:lncRNA from 1 species
AUUUUUUUGGUUUCUAGAUUUUUCUAUUUUCUCUCUCUCGCCUACGUGCGAUUCUUCUUCAUCUCCUUCUCUAUUUUUUUGGUUAAAAAUCUCAUAUUAAUCCUUAGUUUUAGUUUUAACCUUUGUAGAUGGCCUUGCUACAGUAAUUUGAGGCCUUGUUUUAGUCUCUUUGGUUUUUUCAAUUGUGAAAUGGAGUGUUUAAGGUUAAGUGGUUGAAGGAUUGGUUAUGGUUUUGGAGAUCCAUGUGAUUGAUGAACAAAACCUAUGUUUUUUGAGUGGUUGAUUUACACUAUACUCUCUUGGAAGGUUAUUUUUCACUAGAGGAACGGGUUCAAUUCCUGAGCCCCCUAGAUUAGACAAUUUUCGGCUGAACUGGGUCAACAAUCUUGUGUUUUUUACGUUUUAUAGUUUUUUUUUUUAUUUCUUGGGCAUUUUGGUGUUUAUUAAUAAGUGUUUUCAUCAAGAAAAACCCAACACUUUUCUUAUUCUACAAGUAGAAUAUUUGAUUGUCUCUGAUGAAUGAUUUGCUACCAUUCUCUAUGUUUAGGAGUGGUGUGUUUCACCUUUUACGGCUUUAUUGUGCCAUGGUACUCCAGUGUCCAACCUAUUAUUUCUAAAAAUAGUUAUGUUGGAUGAUGUUGUUCUCUUUGAUACCUUAUUCAUCUGUUUGUCCUUCAUAUUAAGGGAGUAUCUGUGGAGUGGGUUAUGAUCUUGCCAAUUAUUACAGAACUAAGGGGUUCCACCUCUGAGUAUUCUUUCAUUUGCAAAUACAUUGUUCUAAUGAAAAAUGAAGAUUGUUCUAAUGAAAAAUGAAGAUACAUGUCCAAUUACUGUCGACUUUGCUUCCUGAACAUAUCUUAUUUUUGACCGAUUUCCUCUUCCAUUCUCUUUGGAUCUUAGCUUACAAAUUUGGGAUAUUGAUUGUUUUCCGGUUGUUAUGACUAUAGUUUGGGAAGAAAAUUCAUCCUAAGUGUGUUGUUUCUCACCUGACGAAUAAUUUCUUGUUUCUUGCUUAGUCGAUGAAUUUAUUGAGGUUUGAUUAUUACAAAUUCCUUCAUUAGUACAAAUUGAGGUUUUUUAUUACAAAAUCCAUAAAUCGUUAGAAAUUUCUAGCUACUCCUUGGUUGCUCAUUUUAGAUCAUGCUAGGUAUGGGAUCACAUAAGUGGAAACCUUAAGAAGGAUCUUCAAUAUCAGGCUCAUGUAAGUUGUGUGUUCUUCUAAUUUUCAUUCUCUUUCCCCGUCUUAGUUAUUUUAAUUUGUUAAACCUAUUCUAUUGUGCUUGCAUGAUAUAACUCUGGAUCUGUGAGGCUUAAAUUACUUAAUAAUAUGGUGUUAUAAUGCAACAAAUUGGAUAAAAAAUAGUUUAUUAAGGAAGUGAUUUUCGAUGUUUUAUCAUCAUUGUAUCAAGAGAAUUGCCAUUCACAGUUAACUAAAUAUAAGUUGGCACUAAAUGGUUGACAUGUAGGGCUUGAAACAAACUGCAAUAUGUUGAAUUCUUAGUUCUAAUGGAUCUUUUUCUUACCUCUCCUUUUUCUUAUUUGUUCAUUACCCCUUUAGAGGGGCUAAGUUAUUUAUUUUUCUUUAAUCAUAUAAAUGGAUGAGAUAAUAGAUACACAUCUUCUUGUCUGUUGCAUUUGUUGUUUUCCAGAUUGGCAAAUUAAUUAUUACUAACAUGUCCACAUGGUUCAUGACUUACAGCAUUAACUAUUUUCAAUUUAAUUCUCAACUCAUAAAAUGUUAGUCUUUUUUGGUCGAUGGUCAUUGUAUUAUGAAUACUUAGUGUCAUUGUUUUGUUCUUCAUGAGUUUACAGUUAAAUGUAUUAUGUUUUUGUAAUGAUUGAAUCAUUUUAUGGUUAGGAAUAUUGGAUACAAUUUCGUGAAAUCACAAUUGUGACUUUCUUGUUUGUGAUGCAGGAAGUUCUGAAUCAACUGAGGUCGAGAUGUCAGAUUGCAUGUUGAGAUACCAUGAGAUGGCGGAUUGGCGCAAAGAUGGAAAGUGAUUGCAACACUUUCCUUAAUUGGGGCAAUUUCGAAACGUUUUUGGUAAUUUGGUCAUAACUUUGGCUACGGUUAUCAGAAUAGCUAUUAUAAUCCCAAUUCGAAAAGCUCUUUUCAGUACACACGUUGUUGUCAAGCCAUACUCAAUGGGCAUUAAUUUCGAGGCCAAAAUUUGUUGUUCUCCCGUUCAAAUUUCAAUUUUUAGUUAUUUUUUUCAUUUAUUAUAAUAUUUCGUUUGAUUUUUUCUAGUUGAUUUCAAAUCUGAUUUGAGCCAAAUUUUUGGCAAGUUCCUUCUUUUAUUCCAUAUUUUAUUUUGGUGUGGUUUUCGGGAUUUUGCCAUUUUUGGUAAAAUUUCCAUAAUUUCAUAUUUUUUAGCUAUUUAACCCGACUUGUGAUUAAUUUUCGUAUUCUGCAUUUUAAUAAAGUUAAGUUGAAUUUCAGAAAAUUCUCUCUAUUUCUUGGGCUUUUUCCAUCGUAUUCUUCCUGUGAAUUAUCUAUUGCAACUAGCCUGCAGGAUAAUCACUAUCUCACCCGACGUCAGUUUGUAACAUGGCAGGUAAACUUUUAUGAUGCACAAUGAUGUUGUCUUCUCAGUUGAUUUUAGUAGAGACUCUGAGAUGCUUGCAUCUGGAUCACAAGAUGGAAAAAUAAAGGUUAAGCUUGCUUUCAUUUUCUGCUUUAAUGUGAUUAUUCUCAUGUUGCUUUGUCUUCUAAUUUCCCUAACAUCUAAAAAGAGUUAAAAAAAAGAAGCAUCUAGACUUAUUCAACACAAAAUAACUUAAAGAAGUUAGAGAAUAUUACUUUAUGGUGAGAUAUUAUCCUCCAAAGAAUAUUUUUGGUAUAGCCGGGGAGUAUCAUGACAUCCAUUCUAAUUUGUUGCAAGGUUUUGAAGGACCCUCUAGUGGCUUGUAUUAUACAAUUUGAAAUUCACAAUUGUAAAUCUAUUUAGUAGAUGUUGUUCUCAUCUGUUUGGUUAUAGGUUUAGCGUAUUAGGACAGGUUAAUGCUAACACCGACUGGAACAUGCUCAUUCCCAGGGUGUCAUGAGCCUUGUCUUUUCACGAGAUGGAAGUCGGUUGUUAAGUACAGCAUUUGACAGCACAGCAAGGUUUGAACUCUUAGAGAUGGCUUUUGAAUUGAGCUAUAGUAUCCCCUUAAUCUCAUGCCCUCCACCACCCAAGGAAAAAAAAAAUCAGAAAAGGAUAAGAAGGAUUGUAGAUUCUUGAAAAGGUUCUCAUGAUCCUUACUUUUCUUAUAUUAUACAGAAUUCACGGAUUAAGUCAGGCAAGAUGUUGAAGGAAUUUCAUGGCCAUAUAUCUUAUGUUAACGAUGCCAUCUUUACAAGUGAUGGCUCUCUCGUCAUCUUUGUAUCAAGUGAUUGCACAAUGAAAGUAAGUUAACCUAGCUAUCUAUUAUUAAUUGAGGCCAAAUUUUUCAAGUUUGCUAAUCAUCUACAUGCUGAAUAAAACGAAUGGCAUCUAUAGGUUUAGGAUGUGAAAACUACAGACUGUCUGCAGACCUUUAAGCUGCUACCUCUAGGGAUGGCAAUUUGAACCGUUAAAAUCGAAAAUCGCGGUUAAACGAACCGAAUGGGGUAAAAAAAACCAAACUGAUGGUGCAAUGGGGCGGAUAUGGUAUUUGAUUUUAAGAAACUGGUUCGUGGCAGUGCGAAUAUGGUAUUUAUGCCGUCGAACCGAAAUCGAAUCGAUUAUCCGCUUAAAAAAUCAUUCUUUUAUUAGGUAUGGCAAGGUUUAGUGAGGAGGAAGUUGACAAAAAGGUACAUUUUUAUUUAAAUUUUAGUUAAAACCAUUCUUGAUUAGGUAGAAUCGUUAUAUUCUCUACUUAUAUUUCUUAUUUACUAUAUAGGAAUCAAUUUUGAGUGCUGACCUAUGCUAGUAAGCGUUGUGGGAAAGAAUGAAAAUUGAAUAUGAGUUAAGGUUGAAGCUUUUGAAUUAUUAAGCACGAAUCAAGUAACUACAAUGCAUAAGAAUCAAGAAUGAAGGAAAAGUUUAAUAUUGUUAUAUUCAUAAUAUUGUUUGUUAAAUUUGUAUUUUGCAAUUGAAAUUUGGGAUAAUGUUUGCAUUUUCGUUUGGAAUAUUGUGUUUUUGUUUUCAUUGACUCUCUUUUCAUAAAUUGUUUUAUAUCAAUUUGACGAAUGGACCUAUAAAGAAUAAUUUAUUUUCGUGGUUAUUAACCGAACCGAACCGAGCCAAAUCGAGAUACGAACCGAACCAAACCGCUUUAUGUGGUUAUGGUGCGGUUAUGGUAUGGCAAAAAAUUUGACGGUUCAGUGAUGUUUUAGGCCAAACCGAAUCGAAACCGAACCGUUGCAAUCCCUAGCUACCUCCUCUUAGGGUAAUUGCCUUAUUAGCAUUCUAAGUGAUUGCAAUUUGAAUAUGUUUCCUAAAUUUUCAUUUUGUUUUCUCCAACUUUUUCAUUCUAAUUUACAUUUGAAUUUCUUAACCUAAUUGCUACUUUUGUCUAUGUUAUCUACAGGGUAGUGAUGCAUGAAGGCCUAGGCAUGGUUCAAGUUGGGUUGGCUUGAGUCCAACCUAAAACGGAAAUAGGAAUCGACUUGAUCAUUUUGGAUAAAUUUCAACCCAAAUCGACCAAAUCCAGUCCUUGAAACUGAGACAAACCAAACCAAAUCUAUUUGGAUCGAUUUGAUUCGGUUAAUCGAUUUGGCAUUUGUGUGAGUAAAAAAAUUGUCUACCUAUAUUAAGUUUAAAAAAUUCGUUUUUUUAUACAUAUAAUUUUUUUUCGUGUGUAAUGCAUAUCAAUAAUAUAUAGGGAUGGAAAAUUGGCUCGGGCUGCCCGUGGCUCGGCCUAUAAAAAGCUCCGGGCUGUGCCUUUGUAAAGGAUGCAUGUUGCCUUCGUAAAGGAAAAAAAAAAAGAGAAAAAACGAGUUGGCUCGGGUCGAGCCUCAAUUUUUUGGCCAAGCUUUUGCUUGACUCGGCUCAGGCCAAAAAAAAGCUCGAGCCGAGCUUUUGACUAUUAUUUCACUAUUUCAGCCAUCAUUUUUUACUUCUUCACUCAUAGAUGGGACCCACUUUUCUCUCUAUUGGUCAAAAAAAUAAUUCUCAUAAUCACUGCUGAACAGAUCCAUAAUGUAAAUAGUAAAGAAUCAAUUUUUUUCAAAAUAAUCAUAUACAUAAAUCCAAUAGUUACCAACGAACAAUUACACCAAAAUGAAAGCAAAGCUACACUCUAAAUUCGAAGUUUACAUCAAACACUUCAUAUUCUUCUUCUUUUUCUUUUGAUAUUUAGAGUUUUGGUAAAAAAAUAUAGACGGUAAACAAAUUAUUGAGACAAAAUCAUAUUUUGGUUUUAAUUUUUUUUACGUUUGAAAAGAUGAAUUUUAAAAUGCAAAAAUAAAAAUAAAAAAUGUAUUUGCGGGUUGGGUCGGUUAAUCAAUGAGUUGGUUACUUAAAUCGAAACCAACCCAACUCGACUUUUUAAUGGUUAAAAUUAAUCGAACCAAACCAAUUUUUUGGUUCAAACUGACCCACUCUGUUUGAUUAGAUCGGUUUGGUCGAUUUUUCGAUUUUUUUGCCCGCUCAUGCAUCUGUUAAUUCUAUUCAUCUUUUUUUCCUAAGAACACGGAUAACAUAGUUGUGUGUAACAAGACAUCAUCGAUAUACAUCCUGACACUCCAGGGGCAGGUACUCGUAAUUUACUUUUGUAUCUAGAUGCUCUUCACUUCUCAUGCUCCUCCCUCCUCUCCGAAUAUGCACCAUUUAAAAACAGAAGAAAAACUAAAACUAAAAGAGCUUCUUUUUUUGUACAAUGGCAAUAAAAAAGUAUGAAAUAUAGUAUGUGCGUGUGUUUUCAAAGUAUAUUUACAUAUUAAUUUUCGUAAAAUUUUGCACCAUUUUGCUUUCAUUAUCGUAAUUACUGCGGUACCACCACGUGAACCUAGGUUAUGCAAUAGGUCAUGUUGAGGUAAUACAUAUGAAUGAUGGUUUUUAUUUUGAAUAGAAGAAAUAAAUGAGUUUAUAUAGAAGUGGUUAAGUAGAUUUUAUAUAGGAUAUAAAUGAUAGGAGAAAUUUAAUUGAACAAGAUAGUUGAAGGAAGAAGAAAGUAAUUUUAUUAAAGUUUUAUAAAGUGGCUUUUGAUUUACAAUGUUUUGGACGCUCUUUUGAAUUUUUUGUUACAACAUUUUGAAGGUGGUAGCCCCUAUUUAUACACAUAAAAUGGUGGUGGAAACUAUUCUAGAAUAUUCUGAUUUUUUUCAUCAUUUUAUAACUUGAUUCUCAAGACAUUCUAGAAAAUUCUGAUUUUUAAAUUUUUAAUUACUAUUUUUGCUUGCUCAUUAAGAAGUUCUAGGGACUUCUAUUUUCUUGCUCCCCAAGGAAAUUCUAGUGAAUUCUACAGUAAUCUUAAAAUAUGCAACAACCAUUAAUACUCCUCAUUGGUGCAUAUUUUGAUUACUCCGAUCAUUUGUCGUAGUAACUCAAACUUUGCUCGUGGUAGCGCCUUCGUAAAUAUAUCUACCAAUUGUUCUUCAAUCUUGCAAUGUUUGAGCUCUAUCUUUUUAUUUGCUUCAGCUUCUCUAAUGAAAUGGUACUUGAUGCCAAUAUAUUUGGUUCUGCUGUGGAAUAUGGGAUUCUUGGCCAUUGCUAUUGCAGACUUACUGUCGCAAUAAAUCUCUUUAGUUUUAUCUUGUGGUUCUCCCAUGUCUUCAAGUAUGCGUCUUAGCCAUAUAGCUUGACUCCUUGCCAUUGCUGCUGCAAUAUACUCUUCUUCAGCUAAUGAUUGUGCAACUGUUGCCUGCUUCUCUGAUGCCUAAGAGAAUAUUCUAGAAUUUAGUGUGAAUGCAUAACCUGAUGUGCUCUUCAUAUCAUUUACUGAUCUUGCCCAAUCGCUAUCAGUAUACCCAAGAAGUCUUAAGUCAGGCAUAGACUGAUACCUUAUUGCAUAAUCUUUUGUUCAUUGGAGAUAUCUUAGUAUCCAUUUUACAGCUCCAUAGUGAACUUGACUUAGAUUUUGCAUAAAUCUUGAAAGUAGGCUGGUUGCAUACAUUAUGUCUGGCCUUGUAACUAUGAGAUAGAGUAAAUUUCCAAUUAAGCUUCGAAAUUGUGAAUUGUCUGAUUUUAGAGUACCGUCUUCUUUUCUAAAAGAUUUGUUGCUAUCCAAGGGUGUUGCUACUGUUUUGCAACCUUCUAUCUUGAAUUUCUUUAAUAGAGUAGUGGUAUACUUCUUCUGAGCAAUGAAGAUCCCAUCUUCUGAUUGAGCUAUCUCAAUCCUAAGAAAAUGGUGCAUUAAUCCCAGAUUAGUCAUCUCGAACGUUUUCAUCAUGUCUGCCUUGAAUUUCUCAAUCAUCUUCUCAUCGUUCCUCGUAUAGAUGAGAUCAUCAACAUAUAAAGAGAUUAUAAGUGUACUUCUUGUACCUUGAUUUUUUAUGUAUAGAGUUGGUUCACUUUGGCUCUUCCUAAAUCCUUGCCCAGUGAAGUAGUUGUCUAUUCUGUUGUACCAAUCUCGCGGAGCUUGCUUUAAUCUAUAUAGUACCUUCCUUAGUUUGAGAACUUUAUCUUCUUUACCUUGUACCGCGUACCCUUGAGGUUGCUCUAUAUAAAUUUCUUCUUCAAGAUAGCCAUUAAAAAAUGCUGAUUUAACGUCUAGCUGGUAAAUCUUCCAGUUUUUCUGUGCAACUAGUGCAAUCAACUCCAUCAUAGUGUCAAGAUGUGCAACUGGAACAAAUGUCUCAAUGUAGUUGAUGCCAAACUGUUGUAUCUUUUGGCGACUAAUCUUGCUUUAUGUUUUGGAUUGAGCCAUCAGCAUUAAGCUUCAUCUUGUAGAUCCACUUAACUCCUAAGACUUCUUUAUCUUGAGGAAGAUCUACAAGCUCCCAAGUGUUGUUUUUCUCGAUCAUUUUUAUUUUUUCAUCCAUAGCUUUUCUCUAUUCUAGCUUUUCUGACGUUGUUUCAUAGCUUUUAGGUUCAACAAUCGUCAAGGGCAGCUUUGAUAUAUUUUCGAUAAUCUUCAUGUUUUUCUUGGUGACAAUGCUGGUGAGUCAACUGGUUCUUCUAUAGUUGCUUGUUGUGGGGUCUAUGGUUGAUUUUUCUCUUCAAGUUUCAUCUUGUAGAUCCACUUAACUCCUAAGACUUCUUUAUCUUGAGGAAGAUCUACAAGCUCCCAAGUGUUGUUUUUCUCGAUCAUUUUUAUUUUUUCAUCCAUAGCUUUUCUCUAUUCUAGCUUUUCUGACGUUGUUUCAUAGCUUUUAAGUUCAACAAUCGUCAAGGACAGCUUUGAUAUAUUUUCGAUAAUCUUCGUGUUUUUCUUGGUGACAAUGCUGGUGAGUCAACUGGUUCUUCUAUAGUUGCUUGUUGUGGGGUCUAUGGUUGAGUUUUCUCUUCAACGUCACCCUCUUGUUUUUCUGGUUGUGUUAGGAUGCUGAUAGCUUUUUUCAGCUUAACCAGUCUCUAAGUUGUAGAUGGCAUCUUCAUCAAACUUAACAUCUCGACUUAUAAUUAGUUUCUUUUUUCUUAAGUUAUAUAUUCGAUAGCAUUUUGAUUGAGUAAUAUAACCUAAAAGAUUCUUUUUUCUGUUUUUUCAUAUAGCUUACCUCUUUUCUCCUAUGGAAUAUGUGUAUAGCAGAUGCAGCCAAAAACUCUGAGGUACUUUGCUGAUGGUUUUCAUCCACUUCAAGCUUCCACUUACGUUUUGUCUUGUACAACUUUAGUCAAACAUCGAUUUAGUAGGUAGACUACAGUGCUUACUAUUUCUGUCCAAAAGGUUUUUUGGAAGACCUUUCUCCAUUAGCAUAGCUCUAGCUGUCUCCAUUACUAUUCUGUUCUUUCUUUCUAACACGCCAUUUUGUUCAGACGCGUAUCCAACGGUGAGUUGAUGCUCCAUUCUUUCAUCUUCACAAAACUUGCUGAAUUCAUUUGAUGUAUAUUCUUUGCCUAUGUCGCUUCUAAUAGUUUUGAUAUGACAACUACUUUGCUUUUCAACAUUGCUUUUGAACCUUUUAAAAAUAUCAAAUACUUGGGAUUUUUUACGUAAGAAAUAUAUCCAUGUCAUUCUAGUAUAGUCAUCAAUGAAGAAAAUGAAGUACCUAUUUUGCUCAUGUGAUGGAGUACCCAUUGGACCGCAUACAUCUGUAUGUAUCAGCUCUAAUGGCUUUUUAGCUCUCCAAGAUCUUUCGAAUGAAAAUGGUUGACGAUGUUGUUUCCCGAGCAAACAUCUUUCACAAAUUGCAUCAAUCUCUUUUAUGAUUGGUAAGUCUCUCAUCAUGCUCUUUUGCUGUAGGAUCUUCAACCCGUGGAAGUGGAAAUGUCCAAAUCUUUUGUGCCACAGCCAUGACUCGUC